rnacentral:rRNA from 1 species
GGUGGAUUAAUUUCGAUGCAACGCGAAAAACCUUACCCUACCCUUGACAUGUCUGGAAUGCCGAAGAGAUUUGGCAGUGCUCGCAAGAGAACCGGAACACAGGUGCUGCAUGGCUGUCGUCAGCUCGUGUCGUGAGAUGUUGGGUUAAGUCCCGCAGCGAGCGCAACCCUUGUCAUUAGUUGCUACGAAAGGGCACUCUAUUGAGACUGCCGGUGACAAACCGGAGGAAGGUGGGGAUGACGUCAAGUCCUCAUGGCCCUUAUGGGUAGGGCUUCACACGUCAUACAAUGGUCGGGACAGAGGGUCGCGAAGCCGCGAGGUGGAGCCAAUCCCAGAAACCCGAUCGUAGUCCGGAUUGCAGUCUGCAACUCGACUGCAUGAAGUCGGAAUCGCUAGUAAUCGCGGAUCAGAAUGUCGCGGUGAAUACGUUCCCGGGUCUUGUACACACCGCCCGUCACACCAUGGGAGUGGGUUUUACCAGAAGUAGGUAGCCUAACCGUAAGGAGGGCGCUACCACGC